rnacentral:lncRNA from 1 species
CAGAUAUAAUCAAAUGCAAAAUCAUUACAUGAUUGUACCUUCUUUUUUUUUGGUCUUUUUAAGGCUGCAGCUGAGACAUAUGGAAAGUUCCCCAGCUAGGGGUCGAAUAGGAGCUGCCGCUUCUGGUCUACACCCCGGCCACGGCAACCCCACAUCCAGGCCGUGUCUGUGACCUACACCACAGCUCAUGACAAUGCCAGAUCCUUAAUCCACUGAGCGAGGCCAGGGAUCAAACUCACAUCCUCAUGGAUCCUAGUUGGGUUUGCAACCCGCUGAGACACAACAGGAAGUCCCUAAAAUGAUUGUCCUUUUAACGUGAGGAUGUAAGUGGACUAGCUGUCAUGCUUUCUAGUUAGUUCUAAUAGACUUUUCAUGAGCCGGGAAGUUACAAAACAGUAGUUACAAUGACAUAUAAUUUAGUUUCAUAUUAUCUUGCACAAGAGAAAUUCUUAUAAAUUAAUUUAAAAAUACUGUGUGAAAGGGAAUGAGGUUUUGAAGGAGAAGUCUUGGGUUUGGGUUCUGGGUGGACCGUUGAACUCUUCAUCCUCAGCCAGCUCAUUGUCAUGGGCUUCCAGAGAAAUGAUCUAUUAAGAAGUGCUGCUAAGAGUAACUCUUCCAUUGAGUUGCUGAAAGAGCCUCGCGGAAAGCUAAUUUCUGUAAAAGAAUGCAGCCAGCUGCAGAGCUCAGUGCAAAUUUAGAGCUGUCAUAAAAGUAAUAGUCCUCGCUUUAAAUAGCAAUAUACAUACAUUUUUCUUUUAGAACUUUAUUCAUAAGAAAUUAAUAUGAAUAGUAAUAGUAAUUCUAUUACUCCAGUAGUAAUUCUAAUUCCUUCAGUAGUAAAACGAAGUGUAAUUUCUUUGCCUACAUUUGAUAGCAAGACAAUAAUGUUUAAGGCUUUCAUAGGUUUAAUAGAUAAUGGAGAUUAGAACUCUUUAAAAAUGAUCUCAUUUGUCCUUGAAUAAUAAAAAGACACUGCAGUCACAUUAGUAUUCCGUUGGCUUUUUUUAUUUUAUCCCAACUUUCUGAGCUAUUUCUUAAAGACUCAUUGAAUAUUUUGCCACCUCUUUGGGAACUCGCAAAAUGAUAUUUAGGGAAGGAUUCUUUUUUAGAACGUUACUAGGUAAGCAACAUGGGCAGAUGUGUUCCAGGUUCAUCCACCAUCCUGGUGACAGGUAAGGGCUCUUGGAAGAAAACCUCAGGAAGAGAUGAAAGGCCCUAUUUCUGGGGAAGGGGGCCUCUAGAAGGCAGAAGGCCCUCUUCUCAUGAAGGAAGCGCAUCUGCUGGAGGCCUGGAGAGGGGUCUUUGCCGAAGGGCAACGGGAGUCUUUGAGCAGCCGCUGGUCCAUUUCCUGUUAACACAAAGCCAUCAUUUCCCUCCUGAUGAAAGCACUUUGGAGCUCAGACUGGAUGACUUGGCGCUAAAGUCACCCUGCCUGGGAGUCUUUCUUCCCGGAUAGAGAGUGGGUUACUGAAGACCCAGGGAGAGAUGGGCUGGGGCGGUCUGCCUUCCGUGGCCUGUGCCCCUCCACCAAGGAUGAGAUUGAGGUGGGCAGGAGAGAGGAAAGAUGACGUCGCUGCUUCCUGGCCCUCUUUGAUUGGCCCCUAUGCUCCUCCAGCCUAUAACUCCUGCUGUUCUAAACGUGGGCAGUGUGGAAGACGUGAUGGUAGCUUGUCGUGACACCAGGCUCGGCUGAUGGACGGUCCACGUGCAGAGGGAACCCAUCCCAUGUGGUGUCAAACCCUAGUUUGCUGGGGAACCUUAGAGCAACGAGUAGACUUAGUGUCUUGAGCCAAAAAGCUGAAAGGCAAAAGAGAGUAAAGCUAUCAUCUCAAUGAGAAUGUCUUUCCUAAACCAUUCAGUCUUCUCAAAACAGGAUGGGUAAGAAAGUGUGUUGUGUUGCCAGCACGUGCUCAGAAACACGGUGGGGGCGUCAGACGUCCUGAGAGAGGACUACAUGGCUGGAGCAUCACACCCAUUCUCCUGGCCAGGAGUUUACAUCCAUCAGAUUGAAAAUACUGUGUCUCCAACGCAGCAUAAAGCAUGGCCAUGCAUCCUGGACCACCUUAGAAUUCGUUCUGCCCGGAAACAAUCCCUUUGUGUUUUCCAUCCCGUGGCAUGAUUCUCUGCCUGACUCUAGUUUUGGCAGAACUUUUGCUUCAGCCUGUCGUGUCGGAAUUCAGCUCAGGGCUGGGAUGUUUGCCUUCCGAGAAGUUACUGGCAAGCCCCCGCUCUUGGUUUGUUUUCAGAUUUGCUGGCUGGCUGAUCUCCAAGCUUGUCCAUCAGCCAGAAAGCAUGUAUUCUGCAAAUCACAACUGGAAAUCAUCCCUGGAGCCAGGCCAGGCUGCCCGUUUCGGAAGAUAAAGUGUGCUCCACGUGGGAAUCACAGCGACAGAAUGGAUGUGUUUUAUUUUUCAUAAUGCUUGAGCCGUAAAUGUGAGCUAACGAGAGAGAGCGCCUGUCAAAUACCUCACAGGUUAGGUGGGUAGUGGACAUGCCAAAUACAGUCCUUUCUCUUCUUCUUGUACCUCUUUUCUCCCUUCACUUUGCAAGUGAAGACGUAACGUGUUAGGGAUGGUUACCUAAAGCUUCUGAAAGGUCGUCAGUACGACACGGGGCGUGUGUGUGUGUGUGUGUGUGUGUGUGUGUGUGUGUGUGUAUAGGAUUACAGUGUCUAAUGGUACAUUUCCUGGGGACUAAGUUUAAGCUAUGCAAAAUGACAAGAGCAGUCUAAUGAUCACAAUGUAACACGCUGUCAAUUGAAGUGUAACUGCUUACCCUAAUGCCCCGUUGAAAGCUGAUAAGCAACUCUGCUUCGGAUACAAUGUAACGCCUAUCUUAGGACCACCUGAAGUGCAUGAGCAUCAAAGGUGGGAGCAAGGCCGAGGCCUUGAACACGUCCAUGACUCCACCACUGCUAGUAAGUACAUUUCUGAAUCCACCUCCACCAACUCCAUCAGGGCUUUAAACCCCCUUCUGCUGGAGCUUUUCCCCCGAUCUUGUAACCGAGCCGAUGCCCUAUGGGGCUCCUGGGCACACGAGCCUCGCUGUGUCCUCCAUGGCUUGUUUUUAGGAAGGAAGCCUCAGCCUCCAUGACCUACCCUAAGUUCCAAAGGGCAGGUUUACACAGAUGCAAGUCAGGGAAGGGAGGGGAAGCAGAGACUGGAGAGGAGGAGCCUUCAAGACGCAGUGGUGCAGGAGCGCCCGUCGUGGCUCUGUGGACUCAAAGCUGACUAGCAUCCAUGAGGAUGCAGGUUUGAACCUUGGCCUCUCGCAGUGGGUUAAGCAUCUGACGUUGCCAUGAGCUGUGGUGUAGGUUGCAGAUGCAGCUCAAUCUGAUGUUGCUGCAGCUGUGGCGUAGGCCGGCAGCUGCAGCGCCAAUUCAACCCCGAGCCUGGGAGCUUCCAUAUGCUGCAGGGUCAGCCCUAAAAAGCCAAAAAAGAAAAAAAA